rnacentral:rRNA from 1 species
ACCCGCUGAAUUUAAGCAUAUAAGUAAGCGGAGGAUAAGAAACUAAAUAGGAUUCCCUCAGUAAUGGCGAAUGAACAGGGAUAUGCUCAAGAUGGAAACCGGGGCUUUAUAGCUUUGGAUUGUAAUCUCAGGAUAUGUUGCUAACAGAACUGCAGGUGUAAUGCUCUUGGAAAAGAGAACCAUCGAGGGUGAGAGUCCCGUUUGGCAUUUGCUUGUUUCUGUAUACGGCAUGUAUUCUACGAGUCACGUUCCUCGGGAUUGGAGCGCAAAAUGGGUGGUAAAUUUCAUCUCAAGCUAAAUACGAGUUCGAGCCCGAUAGCAAACAAGUACCAUGAGGGAAAGAUGAAAAGGACUUUGAAAAGAGAGUUAAAAGUGCCUGAACUUGCUGCAAAGAAAGCGGAUUGAACCAGUCAGUCUUGGUGAGAUUGUUGUGUACUAUUGUAAGUUGCUGCAGCAGAAGCGUAAGCGCUGUUGUGGUUCACGAACUUGUGUGCGUAAUGUUUCUUGCCAAGCGAGUCACCAGUUGCGUGAGGGUGAUGACAACUUAAGGUAACUGGUAGCAGGUUUUCGGACUUGUGAAUGUAUCUUAUGGAAGUCAUUUUCAUGCUUCGUGUGUUGUGUUGUUGUCUUUGACAUUCACAGCCUG